CCUGCCCCUAGAGGAGUUAUAAGUGUGGCUGCUGUGUCACAUGUGCAUUAGCAGGUGGCAUAAAGGAGAUAGGCUACGUAGAUGCUCAAUGUUAUUACCUAUAAGUAUCUGAUUGAUUAGAAGCCUAACAUU